rnacentral:snoRNA from 1 species
GCCCUACAGUUAACUUACCUAUCACAGCUAAACACUAGUCUCAGUGGCGAUAAAAGAAAGAAAAGUAAAAUUGAAACUGACGUUAAUGCUUUGUGGCGCCUGAGCUAGUUUCAAACAGUU